GAAGAAAGAGGGAGGCGUGCCUAAUACAUGCAAGUAGAACGCUGAAGGAGGAGCUUGCUCUUCUGGAUGAGUUGCGAACGGGUGAGUAACGCGUAGGUAACCUGCCUGGUAGCGGGGGAUAACUAUUGGAAACGAUAGCUAAUACCGCAUAAGAGUAGAUGUUGCAUGACAUUUGCUUAAAAGGUGCAAUUGCAUCCCUACCAGAUGGACCUGCGUUGUAUUAGCUAGUUGGUGGGGUAACGGCUCACCAAGGCGACGAUACAUAGCCGACCUGAGAGGGUGAUCGGCCACACUGGGACUGAGACACGGCCCAGACUCCUACGGGAGGCAGCAGUAGGGAAUCUUCGGCAAUGGACGGAAGUCUGACCGAGCAACGCCGCGUGAGUGAAGAAGGUUUUCGGAUCGUAAAGCUCUGUUGUAAGAGAAGAACGAGUGUGAGAGUGGAAAGUUCACACUGUGACGGUAUCUUACCAGAAAGGGACGGCUAACUACGUG
rnacentral:rRNA from 1 species